AACGAACGCUGGCGGCAUGCCUAACACAUGCAAGUCGAACGAGACCUCCGGGUCUAGUGGCGCACGGGUGCGUAACGCGUGGGAACCUGCCCUUAGGUUCGGAAUAACUCCCCGAAAGGGGUGCUAAUACCGGAUAAUGUCUUCGGACCAAAGAUUUAUCGCCUUUGGAUGGGCCCGCGUUGGAUUAGCUAGUUGGUAGGGUAAAAGCCUACCAAGGCGACGAUCCAUAGCUGGUCUGAGAGGAUGAUCAGCCACACUGGGACUGAGACACGGCCCAGACUCCUACGGGAGGCGGCAGUGGGGAAUAUUGGACAAUGGGCGAAAGCCUGAUCCAGCAAUGCCGCGUGAGUGAUGAAGGCCUUAGGGUUGUAAAGCUCUUUUACCCGGGAUGAUAAUGACAGUACCGGGAGAAUAAGCUCCGGCUAACUCCGUG
rnacentral:rRNA from 1 species